ensembl:misc_RNA Metazoa_SRP Metazoan signal recognition particle RNA
GCCAGGUGUGGUGGCUCACGCCUGUAAUCCCAGUACUUUAGGAGGCCGAGGCAGGUGGAUCACCUGAGGUCAGGAGUUUGAGAGGUCAGGAGUUUGAGACCAGCCUGACCAACAUGGUGAAACCCUGUCUCUA